AUUGAACGCUGGCGUCAGGCCUAACACCUGAAAGUCGAACGAGUGGCGGACGUGUGAGUAAUGUCUGGGAAAAUGCCAGAUGGAGGGGGAUAACUACUGGAAACGGUAGCUAAUACCGCAUACCAUCGGAUGUGCCCAGCUGGGAUUAGAUAGUAGGUGGGGUAACGGCUCACCUAGGCGACGAUCCCUAGCUGGUCUGAGAGGCUGACCAGCCACACUGGAACUUAGACACGGUCCAGACUCCUACGGGAGGCAGCAGUGGUGAAUAUUGCACAAUGGGCGCAAGCCUGAUGCAGCCAUGCCGCGUGUAUGAAGAAGGCCUUCGGGUUGUAAAGUACUUCCAGCGAGGAGGCGUUUCUCGCAGAAGAAGCACCGGCUAACUCCGAGCCAGCAGCCGCGGUAAUAC
rnacentral:rRNA from 1 species